CUUUGCUACAGCAUUUAUUACAGCUGCCCAAUGGGUGGGAUGAUCUUGUUCCCACUGAAACAAAGUUCAAUUUGAGCUAAGAAUCUGCUCUCAUUUUUGUAGCAAUCCUUACAAGGUAUCUUUCAAGGAUCCUCAGCCAGAGUGAACAUGAAGAGAGGUUUGAGUUAGACGCAUUUACUGCUCUGUGUGCCAUGGUAGUCUAAAACAUUGAAAUAUGGAUAUCCUUCACCUCUCUCUGAUGCAGUGAAGCCUGAGCCGCUCAAGCCACGAACAAAUUCCUUUCUGAAAUGGAGUCUGAGGAAUCUUCCAUGUGCAGGAACAGGAGGAAGUCUGGGUGCUUUCUAUGGUCUGAUUCCUCUGCAGCAGUGUUCUAGGCCUAGCCCCAUGUUUCUGAGGCUUAAACAUGGAAAAUAGCGCACUU
rnacentral:lncRNA from 1 species